UACGGAGGAUGCAAGUGUUAUCCGGAAUCACUGGGCGUAAAGCGUCUGUAGGUUGUUUGCUAAGUCUGCUGUUAAAGCUUGAAGCUCAACUUCAAAAAUGCAGCGGAAGCUAGUAGACUAGAAUUCGGUAGGGGCAGAGGGAAUUCCCGGCGGAGCGGUGAAAUGCGUAGAGAUCGGGAAGAACGCCAAGGGCGAAGGCACUCUGCUAGGCCUGAUUUCGCGACUGACACUCAGGGACGAGAGCCAGGGGAGCGAAUGGG
rnacentral:rRNA from 1 species